AUUGAACGCUGGCGGCAGGCCUAACACAUGCAAGUCGAGCGAGCGGCGGACGGGUGAGUAAUGUAUGGGGACUGCCCGAUAGAGGGGGAUAACUACUGGAAACGGUGGCUAAUACCGCAUACUAUCGGAUAACCUAUAUGGGAUUAGCUAGUAGGUGGGGUAUAGGCUCACCUAGACCACGAUCUCUAGCUGGUCUGAGAGGAUGAGCGGCCACACUGGGACAGAGAGACGGCCAAGAGUCCUACGGCGGAAGCAGUGGGGAAGAUUGCACAAUGGGCGCAAGCCGGAUGCAGCCAUGCCGCGUGUAUGAAUAGGGCCUUAGGGUUGUAAAGUACUUUCAGCGGGGAGGCGUUACCCGCAGAAGAAGCACCGGCUAACUACGUGCCAGCAGCCGCGGUAAUAC
rnacentral:rRNA from 1 species